rnacentral:rRNA from 1 species
CAUGCAAGUCGAGCGCACUCUUCGGAGUGAGCGGCGGACGGGUUAGUAACGCGUGGGAACGUGCCCUUCUCUAAGGAAUAGCCACUGGAAACGGUGAGUAAUACCUUAUACGCCCUUCGGGGGAAAGAUUUAUCGGAGAAGGAUCGGCCCGCGUUAGAUUAGAUAGUUGGGGGGGGUAACGGCCUACCAAGUCUACGAUCUAUAGCUGGGUUUUAGAGGAUGAUCAGCAACCCUGGGGACUGAGACACGGCCCAGACUCCUACGGGGAGGCACCAGUGGGGGAAUCUUGGACAAUGGGGCGGCAAGCCUGAUCCAGCCAUGCCCGCGGGAGUGAUGAAAGGCCUUAGGGUCGUAAAGCUUUUUUCGCCCGGGAAUGAUAAUGACAGUACCUGGAAAAGAAACCCCCGGCUAACUCCGUGGCGGGGGGGGGGGGGUAAUCCCCCCCCCCCUUACCGUUUGUUCGAAUUAACUGGGCGUAAAGCGUACGUAGGGCGAAUCAAAAAUUUGGGGGGUGAAAUCCCGGGGGCUCAACCCCCGGGAACUGGCCUCCAAAACUCCUGGUCUAAAAUUCGAGAAAGGGGGAGUGGGAAUUUCCAAGGGAAAGGGUGAAAUUUCGUUGAUAUAAGGGGGAAACCCCGGGGGGAAAAGGCGCCCCCCUGGCUUCGAAACCUGAC